rnacentral:rRNA from 1 species
UUUAUGGAGAGUUUGAUCCUGGCUCAGGAUGAACGCUGGCGGCGUGCCUAAUACAUGCAAGUCGAGCGAACGGACGAGAAGCUUGCUUCUCUGAUGUUAGCGGCGGACGGGUGAGUAACACGUGGAUAACCUACCUAUAAGACUGGGAUAACUUCGGGAAACCGGAGCUAAUACCGGAUAAUAUUUUGAACCGCAUGGUUCAAAAGUGAAAGACGGUCUUACUGUCACUUAUAGAUGGAUCCGCGCUGCAUUAGCUAGUUGGUAAGGUAACGGCUUACCAAGGCAACGAUGCAUAGCCGACCUGAGAGGGUGAUCGGCCACACUGGAACUGAGACACGGUCCAGACUCCUACGGGAGGCAGCAGUAGGGAAUCUUCCGCAAUGGGCGAAAGCCUGACGGAGCAACGCCGCGUGAGUGAUGAAGGUCUUCGGAUCGUAAAACUCUGUUAUUAGGGAAGAACAUAUGUGUAAGUAACUGUGCACAUCUUGACGGUACCUAAUCAGAAAGCCACGGCUAACUACGUGCCAGCAGCCGCGGUAAUACGUAGGUG